CAAUCCCAACACGGGGAGGUAGUGACAAUAUGUAACAAUAUACGGCCUUAUACGUCGUAUAAUUGGAAUGAGUACAAUUUAAAUCCCUUAACGAGGAACAAUUGGAGGGCAAGUCUGGUGCCAGCAGCCGCGGUAAUUCCAGCUCCAAUAGCGUAUAUUAAAGUUGUUGCAGUUAAAAAGCUCGUAGUUAGACCUUGGACCUGGACAGGCGGUCCGCCUCACGGCGAGUACUGUCUUGCUGGGUCUUUCCUCUUGGUGAUCUGUUGUUCCGGCAGCAGGGAACCAGGACUUUUACUUUGAAAAAAUUAGAGUGUUCAAAGCAGGCUCGACGCCGGAAUAUAUUAGCAUGGAAUAAUAAAAUAGGACGUGCGGUUCUAUUUUGUUGGUUUUUGGAAUCGCCGUAAUGAUUAAUAGGGACAGUCGGGGGCAUUAGUACUCACAUGCUAGAGGUGAAAUUCUUGGAUUUUGUGAAGACUAACUUCUGCGAAAGCAUUUGCCAAGGAUGUUUUCAUUAAUCAAGAACGAAGGUUAGGGUAUCGAAAACGAUUAGAUACCGUUGUAGUCUUAACAGUAAACUAUGCCGACUAGGGAUCGGUCGAUGUUAUCUUUUUGACUCGAUCGGCACC
rnacentral:rRNA from 1 species